GCCUGGCUGGCUCAGUUGGUAGAGCAUGUGACUCUUAAUCUCCAGGUCAUGAGUUUGAGCCCCAUGUUGGGUG
rnacentral:tRNA from 1 species